rnacentral:rRNA from 1 species
ACCGAAUAGGGGAGCCGAAGGGAAACCGAGUCUUAACUGGGCGUUAAGUUGCAGGGUAUAGACCCGAAACCCGGUGAUCUAGCCAUGGGCAGGUUGAAGGUUGGGUAACACUAACUGGAGGACCGAACCGACUAAUGUUGAAAAAUUAGCGGAUGACUUGUGGCUGGGGGUGAAAGGCCAAUCAAACCGGGAGAUAGCUGGUUCUCCCCGAAAGCUAUUUAGGUAGCGCCUCGUGAAUUCAUCUCCGGGGGUAGAGCACUGUUUCGGCAAGGGGGUCAUCCCGACUUACCAACCCGAUGCAAACUGCGAAUACCGGAGAAUGUUAUCACGGGAGACACACGGCGGGUGCUAACGUCCGUCGUGAAGAGGGAAACAACCCAGACCGCCAGCUAAGGUCCCAAAGUCAUGGUUAAGUGGGAAACGAUGUGGGAAGGCCCAGACAGCCAGGAUGUUGGCUUAGAAGCAGCCAUCAUUUAAAGAAAGCGUAAUAGCUCACUGGUCGAGUCGGCCUGCGCGGAAGAUGUAACGGGGCUAAACCAUGCACCGAAGCUGCGGCAGCGACACUAUGUGUUGUUGGGUAGGGGAGCGUUCUGUAAGCCUGUGAAGGUGUACUGUGAGGUAUGCUGGAGGUAUCAGAAGUGCGAAUGCUGACAUAAGUAACGAUAAAGCGGGUGAAAAGCCCGCUCGCCGGAAGACCAAGGGUUCCUGUCCAACGUUAAUCGGGGCAGGGUGAGUCGACCCCUAAGGCGAGGCCGAAAGGCGUAGUCGAUGGGAAACAGGUUAAUAUUCCUGUACUUGGUGUUACUGCGAAGGGGGGACGGAGAAGGCUAUGUUGGCCGGGCGACGGUUGUCCCGGUUUAAGCGUGUAGGCUGGUUUUCCAGGCAAAUCCGGAAAAUCAAGGCUGAGGCGUGAUGACGAGGCACUACGGUGCUGAAGCGACAAAUGCCCUGCUUCCAGGAAAAGCCUCUAAGCAUCAGGUAACAUCAAAUCGUACCCCAAACCGACACAGGUGGUCAGGUAGAGAAUACCAAGGCGCUUGAGAGAACUCGGGUGAAGGAACUAGGCAAAAUGGUGCCGUAACUUCGGGAGAAGGCACGCUGAUAUGUAGGUGAAGCGACUUGCUCGUGGAGCUGAAAUCAGUCGAAGAUACCAGCUGGCUGCAACUGUUUAUUAAAAACACAGCACUGUGCAAACACGAAAGUGGACGUAUACGGUGUGACGCCUGCCCGGUGCCGGAAGGUUAAUUGAUGGGGUUAGCGGUAACGCGAAGCUCUUGAUCGAAGCCCCGGUAAACGGCGGCCGUAACUAUAACGGUCCUAAGGUAGCGAAAUUCCUUGUCGGGUAAGUUCCGACCUGCACGAAUGGCGUAAUGAUGGCCAGGCUGUCUCCACCCGAGACUCAGUGAAAUUGAACUCGCUGUGAAGAUGCAGUGUACCCGCGGCAAGACGGAAAGACCCCGUGAACCUUUACUAUAGCUUGACACUGAACAUUGAGCCUUGAUGUGUAGGAUAGGUGGGAGGCUUUGAAGUGUGGACGCCAGUCUGCAUGGAGCCGACCUUGAAAUACCACCCUUUAAUGUUUGAUGUUCUAACGUGGGCCCCUUACCGGGGUUGCGGACAGUGUCUGGUGGGUAGUUUGACUGGGGCGGUCUCCUCCUAAAGAGUAACGGAGGAGCACGAAGGUUGGCUAAUCCUGGUCGGACAUCAGGAGGUUAGUGCAAUGGCAUAAGCCAGCUUGACUGCGAGCGUGACGGCGCGAGCAGGUGCGAAAGCAGGUCAUAGUGAUCCGGUGGUUCUGAAUGGAAGGGCCAUCGCUCAACGGAUAAAAGGUACUCCGGGGAUAACAGGCUGAUACCGCCCAAGAGUUCAUAUCGACGGCGGUGUUUGGCACCUCGAUGUCGGCUCAUCACAUCCUGGGGCUGAAGUAGGUCCCAAGGGUAUGGCUGUUCGCCAUUUAAAGUGGUACGCGAGCUGGGUUUAGAACGUCGUGAGACAGUUCGGUCCCUAUCUGCCGUGGGCGCUGGAGAACUGAGGGGGGCUGCUCCUAGUACGAGAGGACCGGAGUGGACGCAUCACUGGUGUUCGGGUUGUCAUGCCAAUGGCACUGCCCGGUAGCUAAAUGCGGAAGAGAUAAGUGCUGAAAGCAUCUAAGCACGAAACUUGCCCCGAGAUGAGUUCUCCCUGACUCCUUGAGAGUCCUGAAGGAACGUUGAAGACGACGACGUUGAUAGGCCGGGUGUGUAAGCGCAGCGAUGCGUUGAGCUAACCGGUACUAAUGAACCGUGAGGCUUAACCUU